AGCUGCAUAAGUUUGAAAGUGAUUCAUUUAAUGUAAGUUAAUUCAUCUGAGUUAAUUAAAAAUGUUAAUACAACAAUCAUUUAAUGUUUAAGAUUAAAAGUAUGCUGACAGAAAAUUCAUGUCGCUGCCCCUUUAAGGGACUAGUGACGCUAGACGCAGCACCUCACUGACGCUGCAGCAGAGACCUGAGAGAGCAGAGGAGAAAUCGGAGAGAACGAAUGUCUGUUAGUGAGUAGAAAAAAAGAGUGAAAAAGUAGAUUUUGUAGUUGAAAAACAUAAUUUACCUGGUCAGGAACUGACAGGGAUUUUAUGAGAACUAAGCCACACCGGUUUUGGUCAGGUUUUUUGCUUGGUUUGAAGCUCGGUCGGAGCGAGGAUUGGUCUGCAGUGUGCGGGCUUGCACAUGCACAGACGGGAUUCAAGAUGGCGAGUCAGACCCAGAACUUCAACUCAUCUUCUCCAUCGCAUCAGUGAGGAAAUCUCCUGCAUGUGGUGACUCGCUGCCAGAGUGGUAGGAGUAUCAGGAAUUGGUUUUGAACUGAACUGGAAACUGAUUGAAUUAUUAUUUUUGGACUGAAUCGAACUGAAACUCUUCAUUGAACUGAAUAAUCGCAUUUGGACUGAGCUUGAAUUUAAGGUGUCAUGCUUUUGUUUACAUAUUGAGUUCAUAUGUUUAAAUGUGAUUUGAAAUGUUUGUGGUCCACUUUGAUUUGAUUGUGUAAAUUGAAGGUAUUUUCUUACCCGUAAAAGAAAGGGAAAAGAGUUAACUCAGGAAGUAAAAUAGGAAUCUUAAAAUAGGUGCAACCUAGGAAAAAAACCGGUCUAACUUAGAUUAGCUUUAUUAAAAUAACUUAGGUGAACUAAAGAACAAAAAGAGAGUGAAAUACAUUUUCAAUUAUUCAAUAUUAAGAACCUGCAGGGUAUUUUUGUUUUGUAUACUGUAUUUUAUGUGUGUUUUUACAUCAAGUAAAUUGCCGGCCUUUUGUAUUUAAA